rnacentral:rRNA from 1 species
GACGAACGCUGGCGGCGUGCCUAAUACAUGCAAGUCGAACGAGAGCGACCGGUGCUUGCACUGGUCAAUCUAGUGGCGAACGGGUGAGUAACACGUGGGUAACCUGCCCAUCAGAGGGGGAUAACAUCCGGAAACGGAUGCUAAAACCGCAUAGGUCUUCGAGCCGCAUGGCUUGAAGAGGAAAAGAGGCGCAAGCUUCUGCUGAUGGAUGGACCCGCGGUGCAUUAGCUAGUUGGUGAGGUAACGGCUCACCAAGGCCGUGAUGCAUAGCCGACCUGAGAGGGUGAUCGGCCACAUUGGGACUGAGACACGGCCCAAACUCCUACGGGAGGCAGCAGUAGGGAAUCUUCCGCAAUGGACGCAAGUCUGACGGAGCAACGCCGCGUGAGUGAAGAAGGUUUUCGGAUCGUAAAACUCUGUUGUUAGAGAAGAACAAGUGCUAGAGUAACUGUUAGCACCUUGACGGUAUCUAACCAGAGAGCCACGGCUAACUACGUGCCAGCAGCCGCGGUAAUACGUAGGUGGCAAGCGUUGUCCGGAUUUAUUGGGCGUAAAGCGAGCGCAGGCGGUUCCUUAAGUCUGAUGUGAAAGCCCCCGGCUCAACCGGGGAGGGUCAUUGGAAACUGGGGAACUUGAGUGCAGAAGAGGAGAGUGGAAUUCCAUGUGUAGCGGUGAAAUGCGUAGAUAUAUGGAGGAACACCAGUGGCGAAGGCGACUCUCUGGUCUGUAACUGACGCUGAGGCUCGAAAGCGUGGGUAGCAAACAGG